rnacentral:rRNA from 1 species
UUCCGGAUGAUCCUGCCGGACCCGACUGCUAUCAGAGUAGGACUAAGCCAUGCGAGUCAACGCCGCAAGGCGUGGCAUACGGCUCAGUAACACGUAGUCAACAUGCCCAAAGGACGUGGAUAACCUCGGGAAACUGAGGAUAAACCGCGAUAGGCCAAGGCUUCUGGAAUGAACCAUGGCCGAAAUCUACAUGGCCUUUGGAUUGGACUGCGGCCGAUCAGGCUGUUGGUGAGGUAAUGGCCCACCAAACCUGUAACCGGUACGGGCUUUGAGAGAAGUACCCCGGAAAUGGGCACUGAGACAAGGGCCCAGGCCC